CCUACGGGAGGCUGCAGUGAGGAAUAUUGGUCAAUGGACGAGAGUCUGAACCAGCCAAGUAGCGUGAAGGAUGACUGCCCUAUGGGUUGUAAACUUCUUUUAUAUGGGAAUAAAAUGUUCCACGUGUGGGAUUUUGUAUGUACCAUAUGAAUAAGGAUCGGCUAACUCCGUGCCAGCAGCCGCGGUAAUACGGAGGAUCCGAGCGUUAUCCGGAUUUAUUGGGUUUAAAGGGAGCGUAGGUGGAUUGUUAAGUCAGUUGUGAAAGUUUGCGGCUAAACCGUAAAAUUGCAGUUGAAACUGCAGUCUUGAGUACAGUAGAGGUGGGCGGAAUUCGUGGUGUAGCGGUGAAAUGCUUAGAUAUCACGAAGAACUCCGAUUGCGAAGGCAGUUCACUGGACUGCAACUGACACUGAGGCUCGAAAGUGUGGGUAUCAAACAGGAUUAGAUACCCUAGUAGUC
rnacentral:rRNA from 1 species